rnacentral:rRNA from 1 species
UACGUAGGGGGCUAGCGUUGUCCGGAAUCAUUGGGCGUAAAGAGCUCGUAGGCGGUCUGUCGCGUCGGUCGUGAAAACUUGGGGCUUAACCCUGAGCUUGCGGUCGAUACGGGCAUGACUGGAGUUCGGCAGGGGAGACUGGAAUUCCUGGUGUAGCGGUGAAAUGCGCAGAUAUCCGGAGGAACACCGGUGGCGAAGGCGGCUUCCUGGACCGACACUGACGCUGAGGCGCGAAAGCUAGGGGAGCAAACGGG